rnacentral:misc_RNA from 1 species
AAGAGUUAUUAUAAACUCCCAAACCCAUGUGAACAUACCUAUCGUUGCUUCGGCAGGUCGCGUCUUACCCUGUAGGCUCCUACCCUGGAGCGUCUUACCCGGUAGAUGCGGGUAAGCCUGCCGGUGGCCCACGAAACUCUGUUUAAUAUUGAAACUCUGAAUCUAUAACUAAAUAAGUUA